CGCUUGGUUUCGGACAAGCCCCAGCCUCAGCCCCUCCCUCUACAGCCGGACCCAGCCCGUGUACGUCUUUGGCCGGUGGAGAUGAUCUCUUCGUGGUUCUUCUGGGACUCCUGGGAGUGAGCAUCAAUGGGAGGUUAUGUGCCCACCUUCCCACACUCACCCUGAUACCCCAAGCAUGAGGAGCAAUAAAAUGAAGUGGUCAGCUGUGCCAGCAGCAUCCAUUUCCCUGAGGGCCAAAACAUACCUGCAGCUGCUGGGCAAGGCGAGCAUUUUCUCCCCGAACUGCUAGGACCUCCUCUGAAAGCUGCUCCAGCUUCUUCAACAAUUCCUUGAUCUGAGGCCAAAAGGAAAGAAAGGGAAGCAAUGAGGCCCAAGUCAUUUCCCACUCCAAUACCACCCAGGGUCAAGGAUGCCACCACAGCAUGGCGUAGGUCUGUACCCAGGAUCAGAACCGGCGAAUCCCGGGCUGCCGAAGCGGUGUGCACAAACUUAACCACUACGCAACAGGGCUGGCCCCCUGACCCACUUCUGACUGCUGACCACUGAGGGAAAUGGAGGCUACAAACUCCUCGAAAACAGACAGUACGAUUUUGGUUUAAUUUGAACAGGACUUCCCUCUUUCCACCUGCCCAUCAUCCCAGCAGUUAAGUCUCCACAGUGGCGCUGCCAAUCGCAGAGCUCAACAUAUGCAGAUUGACUGACUGUCAGUCAGUCCUUGGCAACACUGCUUUAUGACCUGCCCUCAAGGGCAGCAUUAAGCAUAGUGCCUCACACAGUAGGUGUUAAAUAAAUGUUUGUGAAUUAAUGAAUAAAUGAUUACCAGUUCUUUUAUUGGGGAUGAGUAGGGUAUAUUUGACCAAAUAUUAUUUGUGACUACAAGAUAAAGUUAGAAUACUCUGGGUCCACUGAGUCCCUUUGCAGGAGUAGUAACAAGAGGCUG